UACGAAGGGGGCUAGCGUUGUUCGGAAUUACUGGGCGUAAAGCGCGUGUAGGCGGGUCUUUUAAGUCAGGGGGUGAAAUGCCAAGGCUCAACCUUGGAACUGCCUUUGAUACUGGAGACCUUGAGUCCGGGAGAGGUGAGUGGAAUUGCGAGUGUAGAGGUGAAAUUCGUAGAUAUUCGCAAGAACACCAGUGGCGAAGGCGGCUCACUGGCCCGGAACUGACGCUGAGACGCGAAAGCGUGGGGAGCAAACAGGG
rnacentral:rRNA from 1 species